rnacentral:hammerhead_ribozyme from 1 species
AUCCGGCUGACGAGUCCUAAAUAAGACGAAACCCAUAUCCUAGAU